rfam:Caulobacterales bacterium RIFCSPHIGHO2_01_FTLL_70_19 rifcsphigho2_01_scaffold_160, whole genome shotgun sequence.
UCUGCGGACCGGGCCCCUCUGGCGACCACGUGGUCGUGAUGUCGGUCCGCAUCG